rnacentral:rRNA from 1 species
AUAGCGUAUAUUAAAGUUGUUGUAGUUAAAAAGCUCGUAGUUGAACCUUGGAUCUGGCUGCUCGGUCCGCCUAACCGCGUGCACUGAUGCGGCCGGAUCUUUCCUUCUGGCUAGCCUCAUGCUCUUCAUUGGGUGUGUUGGGGAUCCAGGACUUUUACUUUGAAAAAAUUAGAGUGUUCAAAGCAGGCCUAUGCUCGAAUACAUUAGCAUGGAAUAAUAGAAUAGGACGGCGGUUCUAUUUUGUUGGUUUCUAGAGCCACCGUAAUGAUUAAUAGGGAUAGUCGGGGGCAUCAGUAUUCAAUUGUCAGAGGUGAAAUUCUUGGAUUUAUGGAAGACUAACUACUG